GACGAACGCUGGCGGCGUGCCUAAUACAUGCAAGUUGAGCGCUGAAGGUUGGUACUUGUACCAACUGGAUGAGCAGCGAACGGGUGAGUAACGCGUGGGGAAUCUGCCUUUGAGCGGGGGACAACAUUUGGAAACGAAUGCUAAUACCGCAUAAAAACUUUAAACACAAGUUUUAAGUUUGAAAGAUGCAAUUGCAUCACUCAAAGAUGAUCCCGCGUUGUAUUAGCUAGUUGGUGAGGUAAAGGCUCACCAAGGCGAUGAUACAUAGCCGACCUGAGAGGGUGAUCGGCCACAUUGGGACUGAGACACGGCCCAAACUCCUACGGGAGGCAGCAGUAGGGAAUCUUCGGCAAUGGACGAAAGUCUGACCGAGCAACGCCGCGUGAGUGAAGAAGGGUUUCGGAUCGUAAAACUCGGUUGGUAGAGAAGAACGUUGGUGAGAGUGGAAAGCUCAUCAAGUGACGGUAACUACACAGAAAGGGACGGCUAACUACGUG
rnacentral:rRNA from 1 species